rnacentral:rRNA from 1 species
AUGGAUAGCUUAUUUGCUUCGUUGGAUAUAGUUUGUAGUUACAAUGAUGAGGCAUAUAUGUCAACUAUGGGUGUUGGCUCCAACAAUUCUCAUUGGUCUCAAACCAAUGAGAUGCAUUCCGAUGGUCAUGAGUUUGAGGUGGACAAGGAUGAUGAGGGCAUCGUCGACGCACCGAAAGGAAGAGGGGGCAACUACACCAUGGAUGAAGACAUCUUGCUAUGCAAUACUUAGUUGCAAGUGUCGAGGGAUUCCUCCAUUGGAGGGGAUCGAAGUAGACAUGCAUAUUGGCCCCAGAUGAAGGAACACUUUGAUGUACACAACAAAAGUAGAAUUGACCAGUCCGAAAGAUCUCUUCGCUCCCGGUGGCCGACAAUCAACCGAGAUUGUCAAAGGUGGGCGACCGCACUUAAGGCAGUUGACAAGUUGAACCCA